AUACGGAGGAUGCGAGCGUUAUCCGGAUUUAUUGGGUUUAAAGGGUGCGUAGGCUGUGCGUUAAGUCAGGGGUGAGAUGCCGUCGCUCAACGACGGAGUUGCCCUUGAUACUGGCGUGCUGGAGUACGGAUGCCGUUGGAGGAAUGAGUGGUGUAGCGGUGAAAUGCUAGAUAUCACUCAGAACACCGAUUGCGAAGGCAUCUGACGAAUCCGUCACUGGCGCUGAGGCACGAAAGCGUGGGGAUAGAACAGGAUUAGAUACCCUGGUAUUCCACGCCGUAAACGAUGAUGACUAACCGUCGGCGAUAGACAGCCGGUGGCCAGGCGAAAGCGAUAAGUCAUCCACCUGGGGAGUACGUCGGCAACGAUGAAACUCAAAUGAAUUGACGGGG
rnacentral:rRNA from 1 species